GAUGAACGCUGGCGGCGUGCCUAACACAUGCAAGUCGAGCGAGAAACCUCUUUGAAGAUACUUCGGUUGAUUCUGUGAGGCGGAAAGCGGCGGACGGGUGAGUAACGCGUAGGCAACCUGCCCCAUGCAGAGGGAUAGCCUCGGGAAACCGGGAUUAAAACCUCAUAAUACGCAGACAAGACAUCUUGACUGCGUCAAAGAUUUAUCGGCAAGGGAUGGGCCUGCGUCUGAUUAGUUAGUUGGUGGGGUAACGGCUCACCAAGGCGACGAUCAGUAGCCGACCUGAGAGGGUGAUCGGCCACAUUGGAACUGAGACACGGUCCAAACUCCUACGGGAGGCAGCAGUGGGGAAUAUUGCACAAUGGGGGAAACCCUGAUGCAGCAACGCCGCGUGAAGGAUGAAGGCCCUUGGGUCGUAAACUUCUGUUCUAAGGGAAGAUAGUGACGGUACCUUAGGAGCAAGUCCCGGCUAACUACGUGCCAGCCGCCGCUGUAAUAC
rnacentral:rRNA from 1 species